rnacentral:tRNA from 1 species
UCCCUGGUGGCUCAGACGGUAAAGUGUCUGCCUGCGAUGCGGGAGACCCAGGUUCGAUUCCUGGCUCGGGAA